ACUCCUACGGGAGGCAGCAGUGGGGAAUAUUGGACAAUGGGCGCAAGCCUGAUCCAGCCAUACCGCGUGGGUGAAGAAGGCCUUCGGGUUGUAAAGCCCUUUUGUUGGGAAAGAAAUCCAGCUGGUUAAUACCCGGUUGGGAUGACGGUACCCAAAGAAUAAGCACCGGCUAACUUCGUGCCAGCAGCCGCGGUAAUACGAAGGGUGCAAGCGUUACUCGGAAUUACUGGGCGUAAAGCGUGCGUAGGUGGUCGUUUAAGUCUGUUGUGAAAGCCCUGGGCUCAACCUGGGAACUGCAGUGGAAACUGGACGACUAGAGUGUGGUAGAGGGUAGCGGAAUUCCUGGUGUAGCAGUGAAAUGCGUAGAGAUCAGGAGGAACAUCCAUGGCGAAGGCAGCUACCUGGACCAACACUGACACUGAGGCACGAAAGCGUGGGGAGCAAACAGGAUUAGAUACCCUGGUAGUCCACGCCCUAAACGAUGCGAACUGGAUGUUGGGUGCAAUUUGGCACGCAGUAUCGAAGCUAACGCGUUAAGUUCGCCGCCUGGGGAGUACGGUCGCAAGACUGAAACUCAAAUGAAUUGACGA
rnacentral:rRNA from 1 species